ACAGAUGCCGAUCAGCAGCGUUCGAGUUAACAUGGUUUCUGUGUUGUGGUGGUGCCUGGCUGUGGCCAGCUUUCUGGCUGUGGACACCUGUGCUCAGGUACAAGUGAGGUCUGGCCACGAUGAAGUCCGUUACACUCUCGAACCUCAUACAGACAAAGGAACCACCCAACAUGCAGAAAUACCUGUAGAAGUGAAGUCGGUCGAGGACCCACCCGUUAUCUCACUCCCGACCACCAAAAGUUAUUAGAGUCGACCCACACGUCAACAUUCUCAUCUGAUGAUGGAAGCAGGGUUUACGAAUCACCAAGAAGAUUUUAAUAAGUGUAUAUUUUAAUGAGAUGUUUUCCAUUCUUUUUUGUUAUCCUGUCAUCGCACACACCACAAUGGGGCUUUAACCCUUAUAUGCCGAUAUUCUCAGCACAGACGUCAACAGUAAGUGGAGUUAACUACAAGAGAGUUUCAUGAAUGAAUUCGUAUAAGAAAUGAUUCAAAACAAAUUAAGCUUUCAAUUACUCUGGUGCAGAAUGAAAGAUGUUGUCUCACAGUGAUGCUUAAAACUACAUAUAUUCCAAAAUAUAAUAAGAUUUUAUGUUAAUUGUACAACUUUUUUUUUUAAUAAGCAAUAAGGCACACCAGAAAAUGAAGUUGAUACAGUUUGUUAGGAUCAAUAUGCGAACAGUUAGACACUAUACAUGGGUCAGUGUGUUAAGAAUUAGAUACUAUACAGGCUAGCAAACAUUUAAUAAACCAUGUACUCUAUCCCAAAAUUGUAAUGUUUCAUUUUAACUAUUUUACACAUGUUUAGUUCAGCCAUCAUUGAAUGAACUGCAUAAGUUGAUACAAACAUAGUUUCUGAUUCUGAAUUUGACAACUGUAAUGACAAAUCACUGAUAAAUGUAGUAUCUAUGUCUAAAUUUUUA